GUGGGUUUCCCUGGUGAACCCAGCCCUGCACCUCCUCAGGAGCUACUUGCUGAAGGAAAGCAAGAACCAGACUGACUCCUUUAACUUUCAUUUUACAUUAACUACUGUAACUUUAAAUUCUGGAUAAAGACCUCAAAUGGGCACUCGACCAUGGCCAGGACUCCUACGGUGCUUCUAUAGGCUGUGCACUCAUCCAUUCUUCAAGAUCGUUAUUUCACACCUUCGCCGCCUCCAAGUGCCCGCACCUGCUCUCUGCUCUGCUACUGACCUCAUCUUAUUAUCAUGAAGAAAGUGGAGGCCCUCAGAGUGGAGAACCUGAUCUUCCCACCAACCUGCUCUCUGAAUCUGCUCCCCUCUGCCCAUCAGAGUUUUACAGAAAGCUGAAACAGUCUGAAGAGAACAUCCACAGGUGCACACGGCUGAAUCGACCCGAUACUUGUACCUGUGUCCAGCCUGCUGUCCUGUUAACUCAGGUUAUUCCCAGCAGCCUACAAAUAUGCAUCACUUCUUCUGUGGAAAACAACAGCAACACGAUUCUUCACUCUGGGAGACCAGCUGCAUGUCCAGAAGACACUUGAGAAGCCCUGUGAAGAAGUCCAUGUGGGGAGAAGCCGAGGCCUCUUGCUCACAGCCAGUGAGGAGUUGAGGCCACAAGAGUGAAAGUGGGUCCUCCCACCCAACUCUAGCCUUCAGAUGAUGCAGCCCCAGCUGCCAUCUUGACGGCAGCCUCACGAGAGCUGUGCAGUAGAACCACCCAGCUAAGGUGCCAGAACACCUGCCUUACAGGAACUGCAAUAGAAGACAUGCUUGCUAUUUUACACUGCUAAGUUUUAUGAUCCUGGACUCCUUUCUACCAACGACUACUGUUAUAGACCAAAUUGCAGCCCCUCAAAUUCCUACGCUGAGGUCCUAACACAUAUGCGACUAUAUUUGGAGACAGGGCCUUCAAGGAGGUGACUAGGGCUAAAGGAGGUCAUAAGAGUUGGGUCCUGAUCCAAUAGGACUUAUGUCCUUAUAAGAAGAGACAGAGACUCCAGAGAUCUCCCUUUCUCUACUCACACAGAGAAGAGGCCCUGUGAGGACACACCAAGAGAGUGGCCUCCGGGGCAGGAAGAACGGAACUUGCCGGCACCUUGAGCUUGGACUUCUAACCUUCGAAACUGUGAGAAAAUUCAUUUCUGUUGUUUAAGUCACCCAGCCUGUGGUUUUCUGUUAUGGCGGCCCAAGUAGACAGCCAAAAUUUCAUGUGAACCUUCUGAAGGCACCAGGACGUCAUGAAAACACCAUUUCCCCCUUCAUUCAUCCCACUAGCUUCAGAUCAAUAAAGAGCUAUUAAUGUUUCUUCAUACCGCAUCCUGCCUACCAGCGAGAUGUGUGCAUGUGCGUGUGUAUCUGGAAACAGUCACAUACAAACUCAAAUCUCUCUGUUUUUACAACGAUAGCUAAACUAAUUGAGC
rnacentral:lncRNA from 1 species